GAUGAACGCUGGCGGCGUGCUUAACACAUGCAAGUCGAACGAAGCACUUUAUUUGAUUUCCUUCGGGAAUGAUUAUCUUGUGACUGAGUGGCGGACGGGUGAGUAACGCGUGGGUAACGUGCCUUGUACAGGGGGGUAACAGAUGGAAACGGCUGCUAAUACGGCAUAAGCGCACAGCAUCGCAUGAUGCAGUGAGAAAAACUCAGGUGGUAUAAGAUGGACCCGAGUUGGAUUCGAUAGUUGGUGAGGUAACGGGCCACCAAGGCGACGAUCCAUAGCCGGCCUGGGAGGGUGACCGGCCACAGUGGGACUGAGACACGGCCCAAACUCCUACGGGAGGCAGCAGUGAGGAAUAUUGCACAAUGGGCGAAAGCCUGAUGGAGCGACGCCGCGUGAACGAAGAAGUAUUUCGGGAUGUAAAGCUCUAUCAGCAGGGAAGAUAAUGACGGUACCUGACUAAGAAGCACCGGCUAAAUACGUG
rnacentral:rRNA from 1 species